rnacentral:rRNA from 1 species
GAUUAGUGGCGAACGGGUGAGUAACACGUGGGCAAUCUGCCCUUCACUCUGGGACAAGCCCUGGAAACGGGGUCUAAUACCGGAUACGACCUCCGACCGCAUGGUCUGGUGGUGGAAAGCUCCGGCGGUGAAGGAUGAGCCCGCGGCCUAUCAGCUUGUUGGUGGGGUGAUGGCCUACCAAGGCGACGACGGGUAGCCGGCCUGAGAGGGCGACCGGCCACACUGGGACUGAGACACGGCCCAGACUCCUACGGGAGGCAGCAGUGGGGAAUAUUGCACAAUGGGCGAAAGCCUGAUGCAGCGACGCCGCGUGAGGGAUGACGGCCUUCGGGUUGUAAACCUCUUUCAGCAGGGAAGAAGCGAGAGUGACGGUACCUGCAGAAGAAGCGCCGGCUAACUACGUGCCAGCAGCCGCGGUAAUACGUAAGGGCGCAAGCGUUGUCCCGGAAUUAUUGGGCGUAAAGAGCUCGUAGGCGGCUUGUCGCGUCGGAUGUGAAAGCC